AAUCCUCUGAUUUCACCACAGCAUGUCUGGAGAGAUGCCAGAGCCACGCACAGCCUCCCAAGCACACUUGCAAGGUAAUUAAUAUUUUAUAUUCACAACAAUAAUUUAUCUUCACUUGGCAGGAACUACGAGGACAGCUUCAGGUUCCACUCUCCCCAGUAUGUUACAAUGACGACCCCACGCUGGGAACAGCCACACGGCCCAGAGGUGCCAAGCUGGCACGGAUAUCUCACUCAGCAUUCAGCAUCUAAGCCCUUGGCAAGCCCCAUGGCAGUUGUGCUUGGCUGCUCUUGGAUCUGUCAUGUGGUCAGGCUGCUGAUAGCAGUAGGGUGCUGCGUCCUCUGGGCACCAUUUCACUUUAACACCUGUCUGAUUCAGAGGAAUGCGCGCACAUGGAGAGCAAGAUCCCCACACAAAUCCUCCCAGAGACCCAGAGCACAUGCUCCAUUUGUUACUGGAAGGGGUCGUUUCCUCAGACCCACAAGUGUUUUUUCUUCCUCUCUUCCCCUUCAUAUAUCUGUAUACAACCCUUAGAGGGUCCGACAUCCUGCCGUGCAUUCCACAUGUGUUGGACGUUUGCUUUGUGAACCAGGAAUACAACACACAGCCUUUUUGUACAUAAUGAAAUCUCAUAUUUUACUGGGCUCGCAUAAAGCCAUUUCUUUGUGAAUAAGACUUUAUUUAUUUGUGACAUUUUAACGACCUACAAAUGUUUGCUAUAGAUGAAAGGAAAUGAUUAUUUCCAGGUCACCUUGCAGUAAUACUUUUUGAUGGGCACCAUAAUUCCAAUUAAAUUGAGCACUAAGGGGGGGGGGGAAUCCAACAUUUUAAAGCGCUCCCUGCAAAGUAACUCCAAAAUCACAACAGGUUAGGCCUACGCAGCCCUCCAAGGAAGCCUGGGAGCCCCACGGCCAAGGCGCAGUUGGCUCACAGCGCAGCAUGCUGACAACUCCCAGCACCUCACUCCAUUUGUGCCUGCCCAGCAGCACCGUGGCCAGCCUCACGUUUGUGCUAACAGUGGCCUGCUCUGAUUCAUCCAGGACAUUCUGACACUUCGCACACGGUUAUCGUUGGAUCAGACACUCUCUAAAGACUGUGAAAUAAAUGCAGUUCUUGGGUUGCUAAGUUCACGGUCACUAAAUAACUGCUGUCGCUCACUCAGGCAGGAACACUGUCACAUUGCUCUUGCAAUUGUUGUUUAGCAUCAAGCAAUGGCCCACAGACAACAGCCAAGGCCUGGCUGUUCCAGGCAGAGUACUAACAGAGCACAGCACCUGCCCACCGCACGUAGCUCUGCACUCAGUAGAACUCCUACGUGCGGCCACCCUAGCCAUGCGCCUUUCAAAUGCACACACCUACAGUGUUCUGAGAUCCUCAAAUAAAAAGUAAUAGAAGCUCAAACAUGACUUCACAAUUGGAAGGUCACUGGGGCUGCCUAUGUACAAGAUAGUUUGAAAGGUACUUGAAGAGAAGAUGGGAUGAAGAGCUUACAAAAAUAACUCUCCUCCUACCUUACUCUAGCAUCAGGGCUGUCAAUUUCACUGUGAUUAAAGCACCUGGCUUUUGGAGAAAGGGAGAUGAAAAGGUACUUAGCAGUGAUUUAUUCCUGCUCACAGUCACUCCUUCUCUACACUGAGCCGCCUGGAUACAAUUAGGAAAACAUUCCAUUGGCAAAAGUGGCCUAGAAGAUCACAUUUGGUUACAGAAGAACCCAAAAGACUCAAGACAACACUCUGAAAACCAUCAAAAUGGUCUCUGAGCAUGUUCAUCUAAAUAUUAGUAACUGAAAAUUUUAUAGCAACGUUUUACUUAAUUUUCUUAACAGCAAAGCACUUGGAAAAUAUGAAAAGUUUGGUUCUAGGUAUGUUGCCAAUCUGCUUAUAGGGUCAAAAAAACCACAGUGACAUUCUCUGCUAUUUUCAUAAUACAUCACAUGUCUGACCAAAGGCCACCAAAACCAGUGGAAAUCUUUCAGACUCUUCAGUGGACUUAGGAUCAAGAAAUACUUUCAUUUUCCUGCAGAACAGCUCAAAAGCAACUUAACCACAAAUUCUGCAGAGCAGUGAAUGAAUUUCUACCACUUAAGAACGGAGGAACUCAGAUUCCCAGUCUUCUAUUUAGGAAAAAUGUGUUGGGUUAUUGCAGGAACUAGCCCAUUCCAAGAUGCCAAAACGAUCUGUUUUCUUUCCCAUGAAGCUCAAGUUUCCACCUUUGGCUACGUUCUCUAAACAUGAAGUCCUGCUUUUAACCCAACUCAGUAGGGUAUGCUACAAGGAGAGUGGAAGCACUUUCCUGAGCGUGCACUGAGCUCUCAGCCAAGGCUGCUGUAGAAAGACGCAUCGGUUUCAGAUCGAGACUGACCACUACAAUCACCUUAUCUAACCAUCUCCCUCAUGCAGACCAGGCAGAGAUAAAUAGCUCAAAACUGCACAUUACAGAAUGACAUCCACUCAGCA